GAUGAACGCUGGCGGCGUGCUUAACACAUGCAAGUCGAACGGGAAGUGGUGUUUCUUGUGGCGGACGGGUGAGUAACGCGUGAGAACCUGACCUUGGGAGGGGAACACUAACUGGAUACGGUUGCUAAUACACCGUAGGCCGAGGAGCAAAAGGUGGUAUGCGCCCGAGGGGGGGCUGGCGUCUGAGUGGCUAGGUGGUGUGGUAAUAGCUUACCAAGGUGAUGGACAGUAGCUGGUCCGAGGGGAUGAUCCGCCACACUGGGACGGAAACACGGCGCAGGCUCCGGCAGGCAGCAGCAGGGGGGAAUGCUCCGCAAGGGGCGACAGGCUGACGGAGCAAUGCGGCGUGGAUGUAGAAGGACCACGGGUCGAGAACUUUUGUUCUCGAAGAAGAAACAAUGACGGUAACUGAUGAAGAAGCAUCGGCUAACUCCGUG
rnacentral:rRNA from 1 species